GACGGAGGAUGCAAGCGUUAUCCGGAAUGAUUGGGCGUAAAGCGUCCGCAGGUGGCAGUUCAAGUCUGCUGUCAAAGACCGGGGCUUAACUUCGGAAAGGCAGUGGAAACUGAACAGCUAGAGUAUGGUAGGGGCAGAGGGAAUUCCUGGUGUAGCGGUGAAAUGCGUAGAUAUCAGGAAGAACACCAAUGGCGAAAGCAGCUCUCUGGGACGGUACUGACGCUGAGACGCGAAAGCGUGGGGAGCGAACAGG
rnacentral:rRNA from 1 species